GUUUUUUUUUUUUUUUUUUUUUUUUUUUUUUUUUUUUUUUUUU
rnacentral:ribozyme from 13 species